AAGCUCGCACAGGUGCAACAGGAUAUGGGGAGGCUGAAACUGAAGCUACUUCAAGAAGUAGAGACAUGCUGGAACGGCACAGACCACAUGCUGCACCGUCUGGUGGAGCUCAGAGAGCCAAUGGGGGCGGCUUUAGCCGGUCUACACACCGGCAUCCCUUCACUGACCUCUGAUGAGUACAACACUGUUGGUGGGUGCCUUUCUCUGCCGUCAUCCUUUAAUGAUGCCACCGUGGAGCUCUCGGCAGAAGAAAAGGUUUCCGGCUCUAAGGUAGUGCCACUACUGUAAAUGCUGGAACAGAUGCUGCAGGAAGACAUCACAAACACGGCAGCUGCAGUGGCGAGGGAAAUGGGAGACCAUGUGAUAAGGCGGCUGAGAGAGAGGCUACACACCCUGCAGUCAAUGAACAUAAUGUCCCUUGCUACACUACUGGACCCUAGGUUCAAAGCCAUAGGAUUUUUCAGUUCGACAAAAGCCACUGAAGCCAUAAAAAGGCUAACAUCGGAGUGUGCUGCCAUAAUUAGGUCUGCUCAAACCUAGGAGUCCCCAUCAGAUCAGCCAUCAACAUCACAGGAUGCUCAACCUGUAACCCAAGGUAACAAACUAAUGCAUGCAAGGAGAAUCCAGAAUGUGACAGCAGAUGCUACCGUUGAGGUCCAGCGCUACCUGUCCGAACCAAAUACCGGACGAUUGGAGGACCCUCUUCAGUACUGGUAGAGACAAAAAUUGAUCUACCUUCAUUAAUACAAACUUGCCGUUGGGUUUCUAUGCACUCCAGCAUCACCUGUGCCUUGUUGUCUCAGAAAUCGCCCUAGCCCUAACACAGUUGAGAAGCUAUUGUUCCUGAACAAAAAUGAAUAAAGUCUCCCCUGUACUGUA